rnacentral:rRNA from 1 species
UACGUAGGGUGCGAGCGUUAAUCGGAAUUACUGGGCGUAAAGCGUGCGCAGGCGGUUCGUUGUGUCCGUCGUGAAAGCCCCGGGCUUAACCUGGGAACUGCGAUGGAAACUAGCGAGCUGGACUGUGGCAGAGGGGGGUGGAAUUCCGCGUGUAGCAGUGAAAUGCGUAGAGAUGCGGAGGAACACCGAUGGCGAAGGCAGCCCCCUGGGCUAACACUGACGCUCAGGCACGUAAGCGUGGGGAGCAAACAGG